rnacentral:rRNA from 1 species
CCUACGGGAGGCAGCAGUGGGGAAUAUUGCACAAUGGACGAAAGUCUGAUGCAGCAACGCCGCGUGGAGGAUGACACAUUUCGGUGCGUAAACUCCUUUUAUGUGAGAAGAUAAUGACGGUAUCACAUGAAUAAGCACCGGCUAACUCCGU